GAAUAAACUAACUUUUAGGGGGAGUGUUAGAUAUUCAAAAGCUUAAGAAUUCUUUUGUUUAUAGUUUGUGGAGUUAGGCUAGAUUGUAUAUUGGUGAGGAGCGUAUGUCCCUUAUAGGGUUCUUGAAAUGGUUAGUGUCCAAUUAAGGGGUGGUGAGUCUUGUUGGUCUUUUUUUUUGCUUUGAGAGGGGGUAGUUGCUUUGUAUACCCCCUGCAUACUUUGUAAUUUUCCGUCUCUUCAUUAAUACAUCUUGCUUUUUUUAUAAAAAAAUAAAUAAAUAAAUUUUGUGAAAAAGUUUAACAAAUUGGGGAAGUGCUGUUGAUAGUGGUUUUUCGGUUUAAUCACUAGUCCAAUUCUGAAAACAUUGAUCCAAACUGCACUGAUUCAGUCUUGCUGAAAAGAAAAAUGGGAGGAGGAGAGAGAAAAGAGCCGAUAAUCGAAGAAAUCAGGCGUUAUUUCUGUGAUUACUGUGGAAUUUGCAGGUCCAAGAAGUCUCUUGUUAACGCUCACAUGCUCUCUCAUCACCAGGAAGGGAUGAAAAGGAAAAGAGUUCAUAAGAAUGAGUAAAUGGCGGGAGAAAAGUCCAAUACCUGUGAAGAAUGUGGUGCAAGUUCACAUGCAAAAUCAUUCGCUUGAGGCUCUAAAAUUUUUUGGGUGAUGAGAUACCCAUGGACGAUAUAGUGUGAAGCAUUGGAUCCCACAAAACGAACUCCAAAAUGCUCGAGGCUGCAUUAAUUCUACCUUGAAUGGACUAGUAUCAGGUGGGAGACCUCCUGAGAAGCUCCAUCAAGUGGCCUCAAUCACACACCACUUGUUUUGAGAGGCCAUUUACUUGUCCAGUAGAUGACUGCCAUUCCAGCUAUAGAAGAAAAGUUCACUUGACCCGCCACCUUCUUAAGCACCAAGGGAAACUCUUCACAUGCCCUGUUCAGAAUUGCAACAGUAGAUUUGCUUUUCAAAGCAACAUCAAAAGGCAUGUCAAGGAAUUUCAUGAUGAGUCUCCCCCCAACAAUGUUGGUUCCAAACAAUACGUAUGCUCAGAAAUUGGGUGUGGAAAGGUGUUCAAAUUUGCUUCAAAGUUGCAGACGCAUGAGGAUU